rnacentral:rRNA from 1 species
UACGGGGGGGGCAAGCGUUGUUCGGAAUUACUGGGCGUAAAGGGCUCGUAGGCGGCCAACUAAGUCGAACGUGAAAUCCCCGGGCUCAACCCGGGAACUGCGUCCGAGACUGGCAGGCUCGAAUCCGGGAGAGGGAUGUGGAAUUCCAGGUGUAGCGGUGAAAUGCGUAGAUAUCAGGAGGAACACCGGUGGCGAAGGCGCUCAUCUGGCCCAAUACUGACGCUGAGGCGCGAAAGCUAGGGGAGCAAACGGG